rnacentral:rRNA from 1 species
CGUGUAGGCGGACUCGCAAGUCGGUUGUGAAAUCCCUGGGCUCAACCUAGGAACCGCAUCCGAAACUGCUUGUCUUGAGUAAUGGAGAGGGUGGCGGAAUUCCCGGUGUAGAGGUGAAAUUCGUAGAUAUCGGGAGGAACAUCAGUGGCGAAGGCGGCCACCUGGACAUUUACUGACGCUGAGACGCGAAAGCGUGGGGAGCAAACA